rnacentral:rRNA from 1 species
AACGAACGCUGGCGGCAUGCCUAACACAUGCAAGUCGAACGAGACCUUCGGGACUAGUUGCGCACGGGUGCGUAACGCGUGGGAACCUGCCCUUAGGUUCGGAAUAACUCCCCGAAAGGGGUGCUAAUACCGGAUAAUGUCCUCGGACCAAAGAUUUAUCGCCCUUGGAUGGGCCCGCGUUGGAUUAGCUAGUUGGUAGGGUAAAAGCCUACCAAGGCGACGAUCCAUAGCUGGUCUGAGAGGAUGAUCAGCCACACUGGGACUGGGACACGGCCCAGACUCCUACGGGAGGCAGCAGUGGGGAAUAUUGGACAAUGGGCGAAAGCCUGAUCCAGCAAUGCCGCGUGAGUGAUGAAGGCCUUAGGGUUGUAAAGCUCUUUUACCCGGGAUGAUAAUGACGGUACCGGAAGAAUAAGCACCGGCUAACUCCGUG